rnacentral:tRNA from 1 species
CGGGGUGUGGCGCAGCUUGGUAGCGCAUCUGCUUUGGGAGCAGAGGGUCGCAGGUUCGAAUCCUGUCACCCCGACAA